rnacentral:lncRNA from 1 species
CAAGCUCCCCAGGUGAGUUCACUUACGCAGCUAGUUCUGCUUAAGCCAAAAUGUCUUUCAUGACGUCUGGUCUUCUUAAGGGUAUUAUAUUCCCUGAAGGAAUUCCUCUGGAGUAACAAUGAGUCAGCUUUUUCCUUAGCUUCUUUUACAAAUAAAUACUGAGUUUCAGACGUCAAGCAGUGCAAUUCAGCGGAGGAAAGUGACUAAUAGCAGGGGCCAUCUGGCCAGCCACACUUCCACUGGGAACACUGGGAUAUGGGUUAGAGGCAGACAUGGAAAAGAUAGCCGUGAGGAGAAGGAGAGCUCUUGGCCUGCAUGGUUGUCAUCUGCAUGUGUGCCCUCUUGGUGUAUCAGCUGUUCAAGGAGAACUCAGGCUACCACAGGUGCCCUAGAAAAGAGCUCCUUCAGGACUAGGGAGCAAGACCAGGCUUCAACCAAGGCAAAGACUAACAAUUAA